rnacentral:SRP_RNA from 1 species
GGUCAGGGUCUCUGCAAUGCUGAAGCUGUGAACCCCGCCAGGUCCGGGAGGAAGCAACGGUAGCGGUGACAACAUGUGUGGCGGCCCUGGCCAUC